GAUCUGUAUCCGGCCUGAGAGGGCGCACGGACACACUGGAACUGAAACACGGUCCAGACUCCUACGGGAGGCAGCAGUGGGGAAUAUUGGACAAUGGGCGAAAGCCUGAUCCAGCAAUGCCGCGUGAGUGAUGAAGGCCUUAGGGUUGUAAAGCUCUUUUACCAGGGAUGAUAAUGACAGUACCUGGAGAAUAAGCACCGGCUAACUCCGUGCCAGCAGCCGCGGUAAUACGGAGGGUGCAAGCGUUGUCCGGAAUCAUUGGGUGUAAAGGGUGCGUAGGCGGGCGUCUAAGUCUGGGGUGAAAUCUUGCCGCUUAACGGUAAAAUGGCCUUGGAUACUGGACGUCUUGAGUGUAGAAGAGGUAAGUGGAAUUCGUAGUGUAGCGGUGAAAUGCAUAGAUAUUACGAAGAA
rnacentral:rRNA from 1 species